UUUUGGUGUGUGAUCAGCACUAAUGCACUGGAUUCCAUCAGAAAUCCGCAGUUAAACGUACUUGAACGAGAGUAAUACUAGAUUAGGUAAUUUCCUGGGAAGUCCUCAUGUUAUUCCCAUUU
rnacentral:rRNA from 1 species